rnacentral:misc_RNA from 1 species
ACAAACCCCACCAAGCUGCAUCGCUUGUUUUGAUCUCAAUCUUGAGGCGGCGAAGAUGACAGAAGGUUUGGCCCUCAACAGCAGUGAGGAGUUGUUUCUUCAUAAAAAAUUGGAGCUUUAGAUAAGAAAGUCGGAUUUCUGGCCUUUUAUCUAUUAAUUUUCAAAUUCUGGAAAACAAUCUGCUCGAAUUCCUUGGUUUUACUAUCCACAGCAUCAAAGCUUUUGACUUUUUAUUUGUUGGUUCCCUUAUCAAGGGAUAACUUUAUUCAAUACCCUUUCAUUGUCUGCAACUAUGAUGAGGCGUUGCGUCCUAAAGGUUGUUAAUUGGCAUUUGGGAUUCAAGAUUUCCAGUUUCUCUCUAGUUGAUUGUGAAGUUGGAUCCUAUUAUGCAUCAGGAUACAAAUGUCAUGGUUUAAUUGGUGGUCAUCUACAUGGAUUACUGCCAAGAGCAUAUGCAACUUCUUUUGCUAAGUUGUCAGAAGACCCGCGGCAUGCUAAUUCUGUAUCUGAUAUGUUAAUUGAUUCUUUUGGAAGGAUGCACACUUACUUGAGGAUCUCCUUGACUGAACGUUGCAAUUUAAGGUGUCAGUACUGUAUGCCAGCUGAGGGUGUGGAGCUUACUCCUAACCCUAAAUUACUGUCACAGAACGAGAUUGUUCAUUUGGCAAAUCUCUUUGUCAGUUCAGGAGUGGAUAAAAUUCGUUUGACUGGUGGUGAGCCAACAGUUAGGAAGGAUAUUGAAGAGAUAUGCUUACGGCUAUCUAAAUUGAAAGGACUCAAGACGUUGGCCAUGACUACCAAUGGAAUUGCUCUUGCAAGGAAACUUCCAAGGCUGAAAGAAUGUGGGCUUACUUCUAUAAAUAUCAGCUUGGAUACAUUGGUCCCAGCUAAAUUUGAAUUCAUGACCAGGCGUAAGGGGCAUGAAAAGGUCAUGGAGUCGAUUAAUGCUGCUAUAGACUGUGGGUACAACCCUGUAAAAGUAUGUGCCUUUGCAAUUUUGUGCUCCUUUCCUUUUUUUUCCCUUCCAAAUUUUGCUCCUCCAACUAUUACCUUCUUAACCAGCAAGAAUAUGUUAUUUAUUGUUAAAAAAUGAUGAGUCUUAUAUCUACUUUCCAGGGCUCCUAUCAAUGACAGCUAAAUUUUUUCUCCCUUCUGUCCUGGGUACUUUUAGGUGAAUUGUGUUGUAAUGCGUGGGUUCAAUGAUGAUGAGAUCUGUGAUUUUAUAGAGUUGACACGUGACAAACCAAUUAAUAUUCGGUUCAUUGAGUUCAUGCCUUUUGAUGGAAAUGUCUGGAAUGUCAAGAAACUGGUUCCCUACUCAGAAAUGUUGGAUAUAGUGGUAACGUAGAAAUCUUGACAGGUGGCCUUGUAUGUAGAUUUCUGAAUGUCCCCUCAUAGGCUGUGUUUGGUAACACCUUGAAAUUGAACAGGGAAAGAAGUUUACAGAACUAAAGAGACUUCAGGAUCACCUAACAGAUACAGCUAAGAACUUCAAGAUAGAUGGGCAUCUUGGUACUGUUUCUUUCAUCACAUCAAUGACUGAGCAUUUUUGUGCUGGUUGCAAUAGAUUGCGACUUUUAGCCAAUGGAAACUUUAAAGUAUGCCUCUUUGGUCCUUCAGAGGUUAGCUUAAGAGAUCCCCUUCGACGUGGUGCUGAUGAACUUGAGCUUAGGGAAAUAAUUGGAGCAGCGGUCAAGAGGAAGAAAGCUUCACAUGCUGGAAUGUUUGACAUUGCAAAAACAGCAAAUAGACCUAUGAUACAUAUUGGUGGCUAAGACCUGGUACACCCCCAGACACCUCUGUAACUGUAUUAUAUGUUUGGAAUUUGAAGAUCUGCUUCAGUGUGUUCUCUUUUACUAAUUUAUUCUUUUGUUAGAUAUUCUUUACGUUAUCAAUUUGACACUUUUUUCUACGCUACCUCUUUCUCAAAGAAUAACCCUCGUGUCAUUUGGCUAAUUGUAAUUUUAUGGUGUUGUAUGUUUGAUUCUUAACCCAGAAGAGUCUAUGAAAUAUGUAAUUUGGCUUGACAAAUUUCCUUUCUGUUGAAGACAACUUAUUUCCUUUCAACUGAAUUCGAAUUGCGUGCAGGUUACUUUGGGAAGUAGAAGUAUCCUGUAUCAUUCUCUUAUUCAGUUGAUGCCAUUGUAAUAAUAUGGAAAAUAUGUUGCUGCUUACCAUAUCCCUCAUAAUCCAUGGGAAAACAGGAAAUGUGGAUCUAAACAAUCAUAGACUCCGGAUUUUUGUAUUUGUUCCUAUAUGAAGGUUGUUAUGAUUGAAUUUUAUGAAAAAUGCAAUAAAUCUUUUUACCCUCUUCUAAAUUCUGUAGUGGAAAGUGAAAAAAAUAAACUUUAUUAUGUAAUCCUUAUAUGUGCUGUUGAUACUGUAAUUGCAUGGAGAUCAUUUAGGGGAUGAUCUCAAAGAUUAGGGAGUCGACUGUUUAGUCUGAAAGUCAUUUCAAGCAUUUCCCAAGUAUGAACAAAAUUU